AAUGAACGUUGGCGGCGUGGAUUAGGCAUGCAAGUCGAGCGGAAAGGCCCGCAAGGGCACUCGAGCGGCGUAAGGGACAGUAAUGUGUAGGUACGUACCCCCGGGUCUAGGAUAGCUGCGGGAAACUGCAAUUAAUACUAGAUAACGUCUCCGGACCAAAGGUGUGAUUCCACCUGGGGAGCGGCCUGCAUCCUAUUAGCUAGUUGGCGAGGUAAUGGCUCACCAAGGCGAAGAUGGGUAGCAGGUGUGAGAGCACGACCUGCGUCACUGGGACUGAGACACUGCCCAGACACCUACGGGUGGCUGCAGUCGAGAAUCUUCGGCAAUGGGCGAAAGCCUGACCGAGCGACGCCGCGUGUGGGAUGAAGGCCUUCGGGUUGUAAACCACUGUCGGAGGGGAUGAAGUGUUAGUGGGUUCUCCCAUUAACUUGACUGAUCCUCGGAGGAAGGGUGGGCUAAGUUCGUGCCAGCCGCCGCAGUAACAC
rnacentral:rRNA from 1 species